GGGAGACACACAGCCCCCUCCUGCACCAGCAGCUCCACCUGGGAGACACAGGCUCAUCUCAGUAUUGAUCAUCGCCAGCCUUGCUCUCAUUCUGACAGCACCAUUGUUUUUAAUCAGUUUUAAUACUGCAUUCAAAACAUCGCCGAUUGUAAUCUGUUCAUACUGAACUCUGUCAUACGAGUGCGCUGUUUAAUCCUGUACUUCAAUACCCUGAGCUGAGAAAAUAAAGGUUGUUGAGGCUGUUUCCCGCCUAAUUAUUUUGAUGUUUCAGAGCUCUUCCCCAAUAACCGGUAACACCCCCCCCUCCCCCCAUUUACCAUAUUAAAUAUUAAAUUCACGGCGAAGUGAGGUGUAGUGUGCGCAGAUUCGCCACAAUUACUGCCCUUCCUCUCCGCUGUGUUGUGGUAUUGAAUAGCAGCAGGAGCGGACAAUGUAUAAAAAGUAAAGCCCAUAUCAGACAGGCUCUACUGCGGUCGACCUACAGAACCACACAAAAGACGAAAUGCAUAGAACGAAAACAUCACAUAUAACAAAACGUAUUUUAAACAAAUGAUCACUCCCGUCUCAUAUGAUUACUUUCCACUUUACAACCUUAUUUGAAACAAAAACACUAAACGAUCACAGAUAUACACAACGGAGCCAGCGACCUCGCCGGUAAAGCGCUCCCAGGCCGGACAGAGAGAGAGCUGCGGAAACGGGCUCUUUUCACAACGGUCCCGCACGUACCACUAAUUUGGCGACAUGUUUGAUUUCUGCUCUGCCUAAAUUGAAAAAAAAAAUACACCCAACUUCUCUAACAGGAACAGUAACUGAAGAAAUUAAAAUGAACAUCCAACCCCAAAGUUAACUUAUGGUACACUAAUUAAUAUCAACUAUAUUUCCUUCCCACCCCCACCGAGAAACCUACAGUGGUACCGUUCCCGCCCUGCAAGGGACGCCAUUCUUCACAACGAACUACUGUAUUUACAAACCGUCCAGUACUUCAGUGGAAAAUCACAACUUUACUCCGUUACAGAAGCACAUUUCUAGUUUUACAUCACGUAGCCAAAGACAGGGCUUCUUCACACUCUUGUAGCUAACAUGAAACUAAUAAACAGGCCCGUUUCCAACAUAUUUUACCAACGAUUCUUAGGUUAAGGUGCUUUAGGGAGAAGAGGAUACCGGCAUGCCUUUCUUGUCUUCAAGACUCAAAACGGCAUUACACGUAACGGGCUGUGAUGUGUGUGGAGACGGAGAGGGCCGCACCUCUACGCCAGUAACGGCUCCACAAACAUGAACUCAGGAAAGAGACUCUCGCGCCUCAGGCUCGUGCUCGUUUCCUUGACAACGACCUAACAACCUGACGCCCCCGCCCCUCCUCCCCAAGUGCCUCGAGGGUCCUACCUGCUGGUCUCGCGCGACCAACCGCCGAAACGACCAACUGUAUUUCUCUCCGAGUCAGAGGAGCAACUUGCAAAUGACAGUAGCAGUCUGACAAUGGAAAACACUGGUCCACUGGAUGCCCAUAGAGGACAGACUCGGUGACCACAGCCUGGACAUUGAAACUGCACACAGACAGUCUUGGCUGUCCAGGGAGGACAGACUCAGUGACCACAGCCUGGACAUUGAAACUGCACACAGAAAGUCCUGGCUGUCCGGGGAGGACAAACUCAGUGACCACAGCCUGAAAAUACAAACUAGACACUGGCAGACCUGUACAAACAGGACAGGCCGUGCUCCCACUGCCAGCAGGGAGAAGCAGAGACACUUUCUGAUGCACUACUGAUGGAGG